GAAGUGGCUGUUGAAUUAGAAAACGUUGAUAUUGAAGCUUGGGUGUUUAAUACUGAUGAAAUUUAAUGGCAAGACAUGUAGACGACGAAUCAAUGACGCAAAUUCCAAAUAUUUUCGGAGUUACAGAAGAAAUAGUGAGCAAGCGUCGACCAGGUAUACGAGCGGCCGGAUCGCUCGGAGUACGUAUUAUAAUCCAAAGGGACUAACGGUCGUUCGAGACACUAUUGACUGUUCGUAGAAGGUUAUUAUAGAGCUAUCGUAGGGAUAAAAGCACGUAUUAUAACGGUAUAUAUGAACUGGCUGCGUCGGUUUGAGCAAAGCUACCACAGCAUUUAGGUUCAGUUUCGAUUUGUCUUUCGGCACGUGAACAUCUUGAAAUCAUGCAGAGCUAUUCAAAAGUGCGCAAAUCUUCAAGUGAACGUAGUGGAAAGCCACGGAAGCGCAGAUUAGCAUAUUAAUGCGAUGGAAAUUGCGACCUGCACCUUUCCCGCCGCACGAAAAAUGCACACUCGAGACGCCUCGGUGAAAUGCUUGUACCAGGUAUAACAUGACAUAUAUCUUAAUGAAAAAAUUUAAGAAGACUGCU